UCCUACGGGAGGCAGCAGUGGGGAAUAUUGCACAAUGGGGGGAACCCUGAUGCAGCCAUGCCGCGUGAAUGAAGAAGGCCUUCGGGUUGUAAAGUUCUUUCGGUGAUGAGGAAGGUGUUUUGUUUAAUAGACAAAGCAAUUGACGUUAGUCACAGAAGAAGCACCGGCUAACUCCGUGCCAGCAGCCGCGGUAAUACGGAGGGCGCGAGCGUUAAUCGGAAUAACUGGGCGUAAAGGGCACGCAGGCGGAUUGUUAAGUGAGAUGUGAAAGCCCCGGGCUUAACCUGGGAAUUGCAUUUCAGACUGGCAGUCUAGAGUAUUUUAGGGAGGGGUAGAAUUCCACGUGUAGCGGUGAAAUGCGUAGAGAUGUGGAGGAAUACCGAAGGCGAAGGCAGCCCCUUGGGAAUAUACUGACGCUCAUGUGCGAAAGCGUGGGGAGCAAACAGGAUUAGAUACCCUGGUAGUCC
rnacentral:rRNA from 1 species